GUUGCAUCAGUACAGUAAUGAUGACACUGAAGACAUUUCAGUGUUGGAUGUGGAAGAGACAAUAACAAAACAAAACAAUCCAAAAUCAGAUAUCCAGUGGCCUCACGUUUCCAGCUAUUCUUUCAAGUCUGUGCAAUUGUGGUCUACCUUCUUUGCAAAUUGGUCAGCAGCAGCUUUACUGCUUGUAUGGUGACAACUAUCUUGUCAUGUGACUUUAGGGCAGUGACGAAUGUCACAGGUAGACUAGUGGUGGGUCUACGGUGUUGGAAUCACAUGAUGAAGAUGGAAAGAGCCAUUGGGUGCUUGAGUCCAGAAAGGCAUCCUCUCGGGAGGACAAAACUGUCUCAGAGGCUGAAUCAAAUCUUUUGGUUGGGACUUAAUGCCUGUCCAGUGCUGUGGGUGAUAUUUAUCUUUAGUGGCCUCAUCUCCUUCAGGGUAAAGUGGUUAGCAAGACAGGGUUUUUGCACAUUGCCUAGGCUGGUCUCGAACUCCUGGGGUCAAGUGAUCCGCCUGCCUCGGACUCCCAAAGUGCCGGGGUUACCGGCUUGGGCCACUGUGCCUGGCCGAACAAAGCUAUUUGACAAUAUUAAAGAAACAGUUAUCACACCCUUACAUAA
rnacentral:lncRNA from 10 species